rnacentral:lncRNA from 1 species
AAGCAAACAAGGAACCGAUUCUUUGCUUUCUGUGCUCUUGAGACUUUAAAUAUUUCUCCCCAUCUCAGUUUUGGUGGGAGAUGGGAGGGUAUUACAAGCUAUAAUGCAAUCAUUUGGAUGCUUAACUGCAGACGAGAAGAAUUGGGAAUGCUUUGUAAAAUUUCCCAAAAGAGUGAAAUGCUCUGUCAGGGGUCCAAUGCCCCCAUCCUCUGCUUGGACAAACAUCUCUGUCCAGCUGGGGCUGCCACAACGGACCAGACGGAGGAUGUUUUGGCUUCGGCUUCUUUACCAUGCUACUUGGAAGGUCAGAGUGAAGAAAAGCUUUAAUAAGCACCAGUAAAGCGUUACACAUGGCGCUGUUCGGAAGACAGAUAUGGUUCCUGACCUGCGGGGCCCGGGUUCUAAAACACACAGGGACAGCCAUGUCUAGAUUUCAUGUGAGUUUUUCUUUUCCCUUUUGGGGGGUUAGCACCGGGGAAGUAUUGCAUUCUAGCUGAUUAGGAACCACAAGUCUAAAUUUCAAUUCUGGGCUGAAUAGUAAUUUUUCCUGAAGGUUUGAAUAAAUCAUCCAAUCUGCUUCAGUUUCAACUAUUUUCAGCAUUUCUAUUUUAAUCAUUAAUUUUGGCUGCUUAGGACCCCGGAGUCACCAAGCCGGCAUGUGACUUAAUUUGGGAUGGGAAUGAGGCAGGAGGUGGAAGAUGCACUGAGAACUGAACAGGAGAAAAUGGGCUUGAGCUCCAGUCUGAAAGAUUUGGGCCGAAUGCAGGGAUAUUUUCUUGUUAGUGACGAUGGCAAUUUUUGGGGUUUGCUCUCACAAGGCAGAUUAUAGAAUCGGCACAACUGUAAUUUUGGUAAAGAUAGGAGAGAUUCUCAUGUAAGGAAGAUAGUUUAAUUUUCAUUCUGAUUUGACUGCAAGGUGAUGAGCCGGAUCAACUUUCUAUUCAGGUAAAUCAUAACACCUUAAGACAAUAAGAAGUGCAUAUAAUCCAUCCUGCUCCCUUUUCACUUUGAAUGCCAGGAAGCUCAAAGCUAACUAUACUGUUGAGUUAAAAUUAAUAUUAGCCUCCGAUACUGUUUCAGUUAUCUAUUGCUGUGAACAAAUUACCCCCAGACUUAGUGGCUCACAACAACAAUUUAUUUAUACCUUUCACAGUUCAGUAAGUUGACCGGACUCAGCUGGGCAGUCCUUGCUUGAGGACUCUCACACAGUUUCUGACGGAUGGUGGCUGAGGUAGGAGUCACCUAAGGCUCAGCUGCCAUAAACGUUCAAGAUGGUUUCUCAGUCACAUGUCUGGCAGCUGGGCUGAGACAGCCAGAACAUCUAGAGGCUGGCUGAGCUUCUCUCUCUCCCUCCACACGGCUAGCGUGGGCUUUCUCACAGCAUGCUGGGCAGUCGCAGCUCACACCUGGCGGCUGGCUUCCCCCAGGUGGAAAACGGGGGAAUAUACCCCGCCAGGUUAUAAUGGGAGAUGUGGUCCAUGGCUGGGGUCAUGCUGCCACAGGUAUUUAUAAACUUUCUCUAUUUUUCUCGGUCUUAUAAGGCAUGUAUCUUUCUUUGUGAGCCUUUUUUGGAGGUAGGCAAGUAGGAAAAAUACAGUCAAGUGCUGCAUAACGACGUUUCAGUUAACGACGGCCCGCAUAUGUAAGGGUGGUCCCAUAAGAUCAGUACCAUCUCGCCUAGGUGUGAAGUAGGCUAUAUCAUCUAGGUUUGUGCAAGUACACUCUGUGAUGUUUGCACAACGACAAAAUCAUUAAGUGACGCAUGACUGUGCACACAGUGGUUUCCUCUUGUCUAAGGCUUGACAGUUUACCAUGCACCGUCACCUAUGCUACCUUCCCUGACCUCCAGAACACCAUGUAAAGGGGCAGAUCUGCAACUGUAGCCCAUUUUUACAGAUGUGGAGACUGAGGUUCAAAAAGGAUUGGUAACCUGCCCAAGGUAACACAGCUAGGAAGUGGUGGGCCGGGCCCUGGACAGGUGUGUCUGAUACAACAAUCCAUGUUCUCAGGCAGCUGCUGAAGCCCUGACAGAGACCCAAGUCGAAAACCCAGGAGGGGCUCCCCGACAUGCCACACAACACCUGCUUGCCUCUCCAUCACCCCCAAUCACAGCGGAAGUUUAGUGCCAUGGUCUGAGCACGAGUCCUUGAGCAAAAUGGCCUGAAUCCGAACGGGCUCUGCCACUUCCUGGCCAUGUUCCUGGUUUCUUUCAAAUGACUCAGUUUCUUCAUCUGUAAAAUGAGACUGCUGCUGAUGUCAUGAGGAAUACACAAAUUAUUUAUUAAGAGGACCCUGGUCUAGCUUCCCCUUCUCUAGGCCUUAUUUGAUUUAUAAGGACCUUACCAAGCAUCCAUACAAGUACAGCUGAUCUGGACAUUUCAUUUUACUCGAUAUUACUGGAAGGACUAAAAGCCCUAAGUCGAUGUUAAUGCCUGCCUGAGGAUCACAAUUUCGGCUGCAGGAUGCAGUUAUAAAAUACUGUCAGGACUUGGAGACACAAAUCGCUUUCCGCAAGCUCUCACGUGCACUCACAUUCUCUCUUCAAUUAUUUACACUGACAUUCUCGCCCUCGGUCCCCGGUUGCUCUCUCCUCUCACUCUCUGUCCCAAGUGGACCUGCACAUUCACACUCAACUUCUUUCCACUCCAGUCCUUCACGUAUAUGUUCUCAACACGCGCACCCAAAGAUAGCCUUCCACUUACACAUACAUGUCCUUGACCUUCUGUGUCCCAGGGCACCUUCCUUCCUCAGAGCCUCAGUAUACAGAUAUUUCUGUGCUCACGGAGCCUGAGAUGCACCCCCUCCCAUUCCAGGUCCCCCAAAGAUGGCAGGAGAAGUUUUUGCAGCCAUGCCCAGUGAGGAGGUUCUGGACACCUGGCUGCACCUGCCCACGGGUGUUCAGCUCACAAAGCUCUUCAUCAGUGAUCCGAGGGGGCCACUGAGUGGAUUCCCCUGCUGCCCACUGGACACGGCACAAACAGCCUGCAUGGGAUCCAGAGAGCUUAUGAUAGCUGCUGCCUAAGGGGGCAAGUGCUCCUGACCUGGGAGGAGGCUGGGCUAAGGGAAGCUGCCAGCUUUUUCCCAGCUCAGGGUGGGGUGAGAAUCGAGCUGAAUAUGCACCUAUUCAGAAGGGCAAAGAGCCAAAAAUAACUAGGAGCAAUAGCGUUUCAUCUGACAGGCCCAGAAAUAGAGCUCAUUUCGGAGCAUGCCAGGGCUACAGACGAGGGAUUCCGAGACCUCAGCAUUCCCGGAGAAACACAUGGAAAAACUCCCAGGUUACACAAGCAUUUCCAUCCCCUCUUCACUACAGCUUCUCAAAGCAAGAGCUCCGUGGCCCACAGGAACAGAGUCUGCAGAGUCAGAGACUUGAGGGGGUCUGGGGACCAGGACUCAAGGACGCUAUCUGGUGGAAUGCCCCAAGGAAGGAAGAAAUAGGAAGUUAACUGGUCAAUAAGGAGAAUGCAAAACAGAACAGAGUCAGGACAUGGAUUUAGAGAAGGUAAUGCUUAGGCAUCGUGAGAAAAAUGGAGGUACUGAACAUUAACGAUGGCGUGCGUGCAGGAUUUAGAUAAAGCCUGAAGGUCAUCCUUGGCAGAGAAAAAGGCCAAGGUUUUCCAGUUGGGAUGGGGAGUGUGCUGCCUGCCAGCCGUCUUCUCUUCUAUUUUUGUUUUCUUCUAUUUUGAUGUAAAAGGCAAAUGUCACAGUUCAUUUGUCUUUAUUCUGAAUAUCUGAAAUUGCAGAAGGAAAGGAG